CACGGGGGGAGCAAGCGUUGUUCGGAAUCACUGGGCGUAAAGGGCGUGUAGGCGGUCAGGUAAGUGAAAUGUGAAAUGCCUCGGCUCACCCGAGGACCGGCAUCUCAUACUGCCUGACUUGAGUACGGGAGAGGAUGUGGGAAUUCCCAGUGUAGCGGUGAAAUGCGUAGAUAUUGGGAGGAACACCGGUGGCGAAGGCGGCCCCCUGGACCGGUACUGACGCUAAAGCGCGAAAGCGUGGGUAGCAAACAGG
rnacentral:rRNA from 1 species